GAUGAACGCUGGCGGCGUGCCUAACACAUGCAAGUCGAACGGAAAGGCCCUGCUUUUGUGGGGUUCCCGAGUGCCGAACGCGUGAGUAACACGUGUGUAACCUGCCCUUGACUUUGGGAUAACUUCACGAAACUGGGGCUACUAUCGGAUAGGAGCUCCUGCUCCAUGGUGGGGGUUGGAUAGUUUCGGCGGUUGGGGUUGGAUGCGCGGCUUAAGGGCUAGUUGGUGGGGGAGUGGCUUACCAAGCGUUUGACGGGUAGGCGGCUUGGGAGGGUGACCGGGCACAAGAGGACUGAGGGAGGGACCAGACUCGUACGGGAGGCAGCGGGGGGGAAUAUGACACAGUGGGCGGAAGCCUGAUGCGGCGGCGCCCCGUGCGGAAUGACGGCCUUCGGGUUGUGAACCGCUUUCGCCUGUGACGAAGCGGGAGUGACGGUAAUGGAUAAAGAAGCACCGGCUAACUACGUG
rnacentral:rRNA from 1 species